rnacentral:pre_miRNA from 1 species
GCGCCGAAACGACUGGGAAACGUCGUCGGCCGUAUCGUAUGAUGUUUCCAAAUCGGGAAACAUCGUAUGGUACGGUCAACGACGUUUCCCAGCUGUUUCGGCGU